UCCCCUGUUUANCAAAAACAUGGCCUUUUGAUUAUAAUUUAAGGUCUGGCCUGCCCNAUGAGUUUUUGAAUGGCCGCGGUAUUUUGACCGUGCAAAGGUAGCAUAAUCNUUAGUUUUUUAAUUGAAAGCUGGAAUGAAAGGUUGGAUGAGAAAAUAAUUGUCUCUAUUUAAAUUAAUUAGAAUUUUAUUUUUAAGUUAAAAAGCUUAAAUAAAAUUAGAAGACGAGAAGACCCUAUAGAGUUUUAUUAAUCUUUUAAAGGGAAUUUUUAGUAUUUAAUUUUUUUUUUAUACGAUUAAUUUAAUUGGGGUGAUUAAAAAAUUAAAUUAACUUUUUUUCAGUACAUACAUUAAUUUAUGAAUAUUUGAUCCUUAAAUAGAGAUUAUAAGAUAAAAUUACCUUAGGGAUAACAGCGUAAUUUUUCUAGAGAGUUCUAAUCGAAAGAAAANAUUGCGACCUCGAUGUUGGAUUAAAAUAAAAUUUUGGUGUAGAAGCUAAAGUAUUUAGGNCUGUUCNACCUUUAAAAUUUUACUUGAUCUGAGUUCA
rnacentral:rRNA from 1 species